CCUACGGGAGGCAGCAGUGGGGGAUAUUGGACAAUGGGGGGAACCCUGAUCCAGCGACGCCGCGUGAGUGAAGAAGUAUUUCGGUAUGUAAAGCUCUGUCAGCAGGGAAGAAAGAAAUGACGGUACCUGACCAAGAAGCCCCGGCUAACUACGUGCCAGCAGCCGCGGUAAUACGUAGGGGGCAAGCGUUAUCCGGAAUUACUGGGUGUAAAGGGAGCGUAGACGGCAGCACAAGUCUGGAGUGAAAUGCCGGGGCUUAACCCCGGAACUGCUUUGGAAACUGUGCAGCGAGAGUGCAGGAGAGGUAAGUGGAAUUCCUAGUGUAGCGGUGAAAUGCGUAGAUAUUAGGAGGAACACCAGUGGCGAAGGCGGCUUACUGGACUGUAACUGACGUUGAGGCUCGAAAGCGUGGGGAGCAAACAGGAUUAGAUACCCGAGUAGUC
rnacentral:rRNA from 1 species